UUUAUUUUUCCGUAUCCAACAUUUGACCAUUCGUCUUAUUUGAAUUUUUUUAUGAUUAAUAUUUUUAUUAUUACUAGAUAAUAAAAUAUGAAUAAUGCUUUAUACAUGACUAAGUUUUUUAAGUUUUUGCACAAUUUUUUUAAAUAAGAUAAAUGGUUAAACAUUGGACACGGAAAAACA
rfam:Oryza brachyantha chromosome 5, whole genome shotgun sequence.